rnacentral:rRNA from 1 species
CCUACGGGAGGCAGCAGUGGGGAAUAUUGCACAAUGGGGGAAACCCUGAUGCAGCGACGCCGCGUGAGUGAUGAAGUAUCUCGGUAUGGUAAGCUGUAUCAGUAGGGAAGUAACUGACGGUACCUGUUUAAGUAGCCCCGUACAAUUCCGUGCCAGCAGCCGCGGUAAUACGUAGGGGGCAAGGGUUAUCCGGAUUUACUGGGUGUAAAGGGAGCGUAGACGGCAGGACAAGUGUGUAGUGAAAUGCCGGGGCUUAACCCGGGCACUGCUGUGGGAACUGUGCAGCUUGAGUGCGGGGAAGGCAGGUGGAAUUCGUAGUGUAGCGGUGAAAUGCUUAGAUAUUAGGAAGAACCCCGGUGGCGAAGGCAGCUUGCUGGAGUGUAACUGACGUUGAGGCUCGAAAGCGUGGGGAGCGAACAGGAUUAGAUACCCGAGUAGUC